rnacentral:tRNA from 1 species
UGAACAGUGGUGGAAUGAUAACACACUCAUUUAGAAUGGGAGAUUGCUGGUUUGAAUCCAGCCUGUUCAA